GCUGCGCACUUCGGUCUUUUACGUCGGCCUUCGCGAGCGUCUGGGCGGGUGGUAGGAACAAUGGCGCUGUCUUCAGUGGCACAGUGGAGCAGCUCUGAAGAUGCAAAGAUACACGAAAAAACUUCCAGAACAUCUGGGAGAAUAUUUAAUGGAAAAUCGCUUGGUUAAAACCUGACACUUUUAACAGUGAACAGCGUUCUGAGUGUGGACGAGUAGCCAGUGAAGAUAAUGAAUGUCGAAUGUGACUGACUAGCAGCUUCAUUUUGAAGUAGGUUGUAUGGCUUAAAAGUUCUGUAGUAUUUGUACUAUAAUACUUGCCUUUUAGCAUUACCUUGGUUUGUAGUCAGUGUCACAGAAGUGCAGUUUAAUGUAUUAUGUGUACAUAUACAAGGUCUGAUUGGUCUAAUCAAUGAUGAAACCUAUCCCGAAGCUGAUAACCUGAAGAAAAAUAAGUACGGAUUCGGCUUCUGAGAUUAAGACCAGUAAUUCAGAGGUGGAGUAAAUUUUGUUGCCGUGAUUUUAUAACAGUUGUGUUAUAAAAUCCUGGGUUUUUUUUUUUUCUGCCAACAGUGAGGGUCGCUGUCUGCCCAUUGAUAGAGGCCAGAUUGUCUUGGAAGUUCCAAAGUUGCAACGAUUUCUGGCUAGUGCCACGAGGUUUACUUGACUGUUGUGUGAAAAGCUGAUAAGAAAACCAUCCAGAAAAAAGCUCUUCGUUUUACAAACAUGAAAAUAAAACAUGUAAUUUUGGAU
rnacentral:lncRNA from 1 species